UACGUAGGGAGCAAGCGUUGUUCGGAUUUACUGGGCGUAAAGGGCGCGUAGGCGGCGCGGUAAGUCACUUGUGAAAUCUCUGAGCUUAACUCAGAACGGCCAAGUGAUACUGCAGUGCUAGAGUGCAGAAGGGGCAAUUGGAAUUCUUGGUGUAGCGGUGAAAUGCGUAGAUAUCAAGAGGAACACCGAUGGCGAAGGCAGCUCGCUGGGACGGUACUGACGCUGAGGCGCGAAAGCGUGGGGAGCAAACAGG
rnacentral:rRNA from 1 species